UAAAGACACUCUUUGGUGUCCCUCCAUUGUGCUUUGUAAAUUGACGUAGCAUCAAACUUGUAAUACUCACCCAGUAAAUGCUUGAUUGCUUUAGUAGCCUCUAUUGCAUUAUAAUGUAGCAUUGUAGAGAAGAGAUGGUGAAAUACGUGAGUGUCUGUAAUGUUAUGGAAAACCUUAUUCAAUACCCUGUAAUCUCUAUCCAUCGUUGACAAAGCCCCCUCAUCCAGUCCCAUUCAGAGGAGUUAAAGUGUGGUAGUGCAAGGUGAGUUUGCUGCAAGUAUGUGAUCGUUAUAAGGAAAGCAUUAACAAUAAGCAAUGGCACCCCAUAGAUAUCAACUAAGCCAACCCUUUUGCCAUGACAAUCUAAUAUAGAACAUAACUUUGCAGCAAAAAUUCGAGCAUCAGAAAUGAAUAUCUAAAGCCUUUCCCUGUCAGAAUAUACAGGACCAUAAGGAUCAUAGUGACAAGCAAAGCGAUCAUAUGGUCUUCCUAAGACAUUGAAGGCUAAGUAUAAAGGCCACCCAACGAGAAGCAUGGCUGCAAGUGUUAAACAUCGGCUUGGAGGAUUGUUGAGAUACACGGAAUACCAUGGAAUUUUAGACUUGGGUUUAGGAACAAACACCUCAUCAUGUUCAAGUGACCCUGUAUUAGAGUGAAGUCGACAAUGGCUGAUUUUCUAGGAAAAGUAAAGAACUAGAAGUGUAGAGUGGAGAAUGAGGCCAACAGUGUCAUCCACCCACUGAUAUUCACUAAAAGCAUGGUGACCACAUUCAUGGGCAAUGACCCAAAUACUAGUGAGAAUGUAGGCCUGGAGAGACCAGUAGAGGGACCAUGCGAGGUAGAUGAGAGGAGAAGGGAGGAGAUGGAACAAGAAAGUGGUAAUGGAGAAGAAGACAAUGCUCAAAGAGAGGUCAUAGAGAAGAAAGGAAAAAGAGCGAAGAAGUGAGUGUUGAAAGCAAUGGGAAGGGAUGGUUUGCUUGAGUUAGGCAAGGGUGAAUGGGGGUUUUACGUGGGGGACUCGCCUGACACUCUUCAGCAGACUUUUGUGGGAGUUCUUACUAAUAAUAGGGGCAAUAGACAUCCGGCCACCCCCUCCCAUACUUUUGUACUCAAGUUUCUUGUAGAUUGAAACAUGAGCAUUGAGAACAGAUUUCUGGUUAUGAUUGAGGAUUUUUCUUAGCUAGACUGGUCUAGAUCAUGAGUCCAAUAUACCAACACAAGAUUUAUGGGAUGAGAUAUACUUAUUAUAUAUAUGGUUCACAUGUUUGGGUCCAUAAUGAAUAAGAUCUGAG
rnacentral:misc_RNA from 1 species